UCAAUAAUUUUACUCCGAAAAAAUGAUACCAAAGUUGCCAGUCAUUCAUAAGUUUUAAUAGCCAUUAUUCAUCAAAAAAUCAUAAACUGAAAUUUUCUUUGUUCAGAUAUUAAAAAUGGAUUUGAAAAAAAUUUUAUGAUAUUUGCUCUAGUAAAUUAUUUUCAGUAGCAGCAUAAUAAAAGUCAAAUCUAACAAACUGAUAUAAAGUCGAGAUGUGAAUUUUUAAAAUUGCCCAAAUUACGAUACUAAGAUUCAAUUCAAUACGAACAAAAAAAAACCGUAUUAUUUUUUAUAAAAAAUUUAGCGCUUGCGUGUUAAAGUCAGGCACGAUUUUUCUUUUAGUUUAAAAUCCCAGUUGAGACUUCGAUCCGAGGCCGAGAGAGCUCUGCGUGGGAGACCUGUCGCUCCUUUCUCUCCCUUGCAGUCUUUCUCUCUUUUUUUCAUUUUCUUACUCUUUCUUUCGGUAUUCGCUUACUCUUUUUCCCCCUUCUCUUUAUUCACUUCUCAAUCUGGUGCAAGAACACCCAAAGACGCCGACUUCUUCCGCUUCCGAGACGCGACUGUUAGAACUUGCAGCAGAUUCAAUGCUGCAGAGCUCACGUUUGCUGGAAGAAUGAGGUGUCAAGGGAAUGCACGAGCUAUGUGUCAAUCCAUGGUUGAAAAUACACCGACGGAUAAAUAAAUGAGACUUGGCUAGUGGAAGAGGAAGGGUAAUAGAGAAGAGUGAUGGAAAAAAACGAUCGAAUAAACUGAAGAAUUUCAACAUCAAUUUGGCUGUCAUUAUUUUCACAUGAUGAUAAUACAGCCUGUAGAAACGUCACGAAUAAGAGCUAAAGAAGAAGAAGAAGAACGUAGAGAAAGAGAAUUCAACAUUGCACAAAGAGUCAAGCCAGUGGUACAACGAUCCCGGGGUCAUGCUCCGGUCACUGACAUCCGCCUUGGCCACCACACUCUCUUCUUCAUGGACAAGCAACCAACUUUGCCCUCAGCCAGCCAUACUCUCAACUACUAUGCCCUCUUCUUACAGACUAUGUGUCUUGGUUUUCUUCUUGAGAUGCGUGACCAUUCUUACAUCUUCAUAAUUCAUUACUAUUCGCUACAGUAUAGAUAAUUACUAUUGACCUAAACCACAAGACCACUCACUUCAACAUUAAAACUGAAUUGAAUGUUCCACUAAAAUAUUUACCGCCUUUGCUGAUGAUUGAUAAGCACAAUUUUU
rnacentral:lncRNA from 1 species